CUCUUCGUUCGAGUCCAUCCAAUCCACAUUUUGCCCAUAGCUAUUCCCUAUGGGAAAAGAUACAGGGCCACCAUUGGAGUAACUAAACACCAUUUCAGACAAAAGCAUUCCAUUGGAUGAAGUUGAGGUGCAAAAUCUGAGACACAAGAG